rnacentral:pre_miRNA from 1 species
UUUAUUUAUUUAUAUGGAGUUAGAACGUUUGCCUACGUUUGCCGCUGGAGACGCUGUUCCAACUGCAUACAAAUUUCAGUGA